AAGCGUGCGCAGGCGGCUUUGCAAGACAGAUGUGAAAUCCCCGGGCUCAACCUGGGAACUGCAUUUGUGACUGCAAGGCUAGAGUACGGCAGAGGGGGAUGGAAUUCCGCGUGUAGCAGUGAAAUGCGUAGAUAUGCGGAGGAACACCAAUGGCGAAGGCAAUCCCCCUGGGCCUGUACUGACGCUCAUGCACGAAAGCGUGGGGAGCAAACAGGAUUAGAUACCCUUGU
rnacentral:rRNA from 1 species